rnacentral:rRNA from 1 species
CCUACGGGGUGCAGCAGUGAGGAAUAUUGGUCAAUGGACGAGAGUCUGAACCAGCCAAGUAGCGUGAAGGAUGACUGCCCUAUGGGUUGUAAACUUCUUUUAUAUGGGAAUAAAACGUUCCACGUGUGGGAUUUUGUAUGUACCAUAUGAAUAGGGAUCGGCUAACUCCGUGCCAGCAGCCGCGGUAAUCCGGAGUAUCCGAGCGUUAUCCGGAUUGAUUGGGUUUAAAGGGAGCGUAGGUGGAUUGUUAAGUCAGUUGUGAAAGUUUGCGGCUCAACCGUAAAAUUGAAGUUGAAACUGGCAGUCUUGAGUACAGUAGAGGUGGGCGGAAUUCGUGGUGUAGCGGUGAAAUGCUUAGAUAUCACGAAGAACUCCGAUUGCGAAGGCAGUUCACUGGACUGCAACUGACACUGAGGCUCGAAAGUGUGGGUAUCAAACAGGAUUAGAUACCCGUGUAGUC